GAAUCAGCACUUAAGCUUGGGUUUAUAGGCGUAAGGCUAAUUUAAUCAUUAAAAAUUUCGUUGUUGAUUGCAAAUCGCUUUCUUGCCUUUGCUGAGUUGCGUCGUUUGCUGAGUUAUAUCAAACAUUUAGUUUUGAAUUCGCACUAUUAGAGUAAUGUACAUUUUACCGCAGCGUUCGACAGCGACAAUAGACGGAAAUAGUUAAAAGAAAAUACCGUUGAGACGUGCAUAUAUGAUAUGAAGUUCAAUAAAAUACUACGAAAUGCUAUGAUGGAGUGUUAUUAUUUUUAAUUUUCGAUCAAUGAGUCAAAAUACUGAAAUUAAAUAAGUAGAAUAUAAUAAAGUAGCUGCAAGGAUUUUCAGUUAACAGUUGUAGAAAUAAUUGUUGACUGUGUGUAAGUGAAGUAAAGUGAAUGAUUGCAUGAAAUCGUAAAUAAAAUAUACAAAUAAUAGUAUAAAUACUACACGAAAUAUAAAAAAUAAUAUAAAAAACAUUUAAAAAACUAAAGGAAUUGGGGUAGCUGAAUUGAAAAUCACUAAAAUCUACUGGUGUGAAUGUGCUUAGUUUCUUAAAAAUUUGAAAUAAAAACGUUGAAACUUCAAACUCAAGAUGAGAAUUUAAAAAUAAAUAUUCGACACACGCAAACGCCAUUUUAGACAGCUGAGCCGAACACACACAAUGUCUGCAGCUAUCUUCUGUUUUUAUAUCCUUAAAACCGGUGAUUAGGAAGUGUUGCACCCUAACGUUCUAAUGGAGACGAUAUGGGCACAACAUGGCCUCAGCACAUAUAUUACAAUACUACAGUAACACUAGAACUAAAACAGCGGCAUUCGAAAAAACAGCAACAACAAUUGAGCAACAUUGUUACGAGCGAAAAACUUCCGGCACACCAGAGACAUGUCUCAUCACUAACGAGCGGAAACAAUUUGCAGAGAAGUCGUCAGCAGCAGCAGUUAGUAAAAAUACAACAACAACAAAGGUAUCUAAAGCAAUAUCGACGGCAUUGUUGUCGUAUUGUCUGCCGGCCAUUGCAACAGUCGAGAAUAUUCGGGGUCACAGCAACGCGGUCACGACGUCACUUCAAGAGCCGACGGUCGAUCGUAAACUGCACAGGACCAAGCUACGGGCAUUGCAUGCGAGUAUUGCAAAAGGAGUUAACAAAGGGGGAUAUAAUUGUUUUGAAACGCCAACGCCAUGGAAACCAACAGCUGCCACGAAGCGACCAAGCUCAAACCCAACACACCCGACGCUGUCGCCGAAUCAGAAGUCACACGAAGCUGCAGAUGAUGUUCAUACGUUUCGUUGCGUGUACAGUGGCAGGCGAGGCAGAAGCAAAAGUGAAAGCGUUGACUUGCAAGCAAAACGCCCUCAGAGACCUCAACAACAACAACAACAGGAACAGCAGCAACAGCGAAACCGUUGGCAUUCGGAAAACAGAGGCGAAGCAUUGCCGUGUGAAUGGACAAGAGUCAAAGGUAUUGCAAAUAUGUCAAGUGCAGCCGCGUCUAACGCCAACAAGCAACAACAACAUCUGUGGAGGGGUGCCACUGGCAUUGUUGUUGGUGCUAUUGCAAGUUUACGCAAAACAUCUGCAGGGAAUUGCGCUCGACAGCGGUCACAAGCCAUUGCUUACAAGCACAGUACACAAACAAAGGAGAAACAUAACAACAAAAACAAGAAAACCAAAUGCUGCCAAUCAAGCGAAACGAAACAAAGUGAAACACACAACGUUGCCACGGGCUGCCAUGCAGCUGGGGAAUACGAUUGCUGCUGCAACCUGCAUAUCGUUUCGUCAUGUACACGCCAAUCUUCCAGAAAUGCUAUCGAACAGCAACAACAACUACAACUCAGCGGUCUAUCAAACGGCUCCAACCAAGAACUUUCACAGCUGCUUAUCGAAAACUGCUGCUCGCUCGCUUACAAUGCUGCACCUCAGCUACACCAACAACCACAAGCAACAACAACCACUGCAACAAAAUCCAAAACAGCAGCAAAAACCACAAAUGAACACCGAAGUAUAUUUCAAUACAAAACCAACAAAAAUAGCAAAUGCUACUACAAGGCGGAUGUUGCGAACGAACUCUAUUUGGAAAAAGCUGCAGCUGAUGCUGACUUCGGUGGCGGUUGCGGCACAAUUCUAUCUACGCUGCGUUGCACUGUGCGUUCGAAGCUUGUGCUUGCAGUGGCCGACCUGCAAGCUUUGUCACGUGCUCUUUUCUCACUCGUCAUCAUCUUCAACAUGCUGCCGUUAUUUUAUGCAGUUGCUGCUUCUGAAUUAAGAGCUAGCGGUGGUCCAAAUCCGGCGGCGCAUCCUUGGAUACCCGUUGUGGCUUACUUGGAAAGUCUGCCGAGACCAACAAAACCGCCAAAAUGCGACCAGACAUUCGUUUCACGUAUUGGCGGCCCACAGAAUGGCACAUUCACCGCGCCGCUGCUGCACAAUCACAAGAACCAUUCGCGUCAGUGCUUGUACACUUUCCUAGCAGGACCCGGGCAACGUGUCGAAGUACUUUUUACAGCGUUUAAUUUAAGAGGAAGUCCACCAGACGGUUCCGCCGUCGGUGAAUUACCAGCCUGUGUUCACGAGUACAUGGAUAUAUAUUCGGAAGUGCAGUCGUCAGAUCCAGCUGAACUAAUAAAUUCACCGUUUGGCGGACGAUAUUGUGGUACAAUACCGCCGCGACGACGUAUCUCCAUGUAUCGAGCUAUAGCCAUCUCAUUUUUUACCAAUAAAAAUGUAUCAACACCCGAUUUAUUCGAAGGAACUUAUAGAUUUAUAAAUGCAUCUGAAUAUGAAAUUGGUAUACCAAUAGCGGGUUCACCAUGUUCCUACACCAUUACGCCUAGCAUGAGUAUAAAUAAAACUGGGGCACUAAUAUCGCCAACCUAUCCGGGUGCCUAUCCAAAGGAUAUGUCAUGUACAUAUCAAUUCCUCGGCGAAUCGAAUCAAAGAGUUAGAUUAGAAUUUCGAGAUUUUGAUCUAUUUUUUGGUGGACCACACUGCCCAUUUGACUAUGUCAAAGUGUAUGAUGGUCCCGAUAAUUCGUCAGCAUUAAUUGGUACAUAUUGCGGACAGCAAAGGAAUUUAGUUUUAUACUCAAGCGAAUCGAGCCUUUUUGUUCAUUUUUAUACAUUGCCAAGAACAGCGAAUACACAAAAUCGUGGCUUUAAAGGAAUUUAUGAAUUUAGCGAAAGUUUUGUUAAAUUAGAUUUUAUACGUGAAAAUGAUGGCAUUCACAUACGUGGCUCCGAAUGUGAUCAAAAGAUAUUAUCGAGAAAGGAAUCAACGGGUUUUGUGCUCUCACCAAAUUAUCCCUAUCCAUAUAUACCGAAAACUGUUUGUAGGUACUUCAUUUACGGCAUGCAAGAUGCUCAGCAUCUGGAACGUGUACGUCUGGAGUUCUCAGCUUUCAACAUACCCAAGGUAGAGCACAAGGAUAAAAGCGAAUCCAAUUGCACAGACGGUUAUCUUAAAAUCUAUCUUAAGGGUCAGGAAACGGCCGAUGCCUAUGACAAAUUUGAUUACGAGUUAUGUGGCAAUGAAACGCAACGAGUUCUUAGCGAUGGACCACGCUUGGCAAUGGUAUUCAGUUCGGGUGAGCUACAGGGUCGCGGUUUCAAGGGUAAAUACAUCUUUGAAACUGAAUAUAAAAUACCUGGUACAGCUGCACCCGAUGGCACGUGUAGCUUCACAUAUGUGAGCAGUUCAAAGAAACGUGGCGAACUAAACAGUCCUCGCUAUCCAUCCAACUACCCAUCGGACACGAAUUGUUCGUAUCUAUUUCUAGGUGAACCGAAUGAGCAGGUCACGAUAGUUUUCGAUCAUUUUAAAGUUAAAGCGGAUGGUAACUCAAAUGCAACGGCUGGAGCUUAUGGUUCUAGCGCUUGCUUUGAAGACUGGCUGGAAAUGUAUGUUGUUUAUCGUGAUAACAACGAUCGUUUUCUUGGUCGCUACUGUGGUUUGACAGCACCCGGCCCCGUUGAGAGCCCAAGGGGUGCAGUGGGUCUGCGCAUCACAUUGCAUACGGAUCAAGAGAACGUAGCUAGUGGUUUCAAAGCGCGCUACUUUUUCGAAUCUCCUCGCACCGAUGUGGCUGAAUGCGGUGGCAACUUCUCAGGUCAGGACUCGGGUAUUAUCACUUCUCCCAACUACCCAGCAGGUUAUAAGGCACCCAGUCGUGGUAUGGCUUCGAUGGCAUGCAAUUGGAUAAUGACAGCACGGCCGGGUUAUAAGUUAUCAAUUAAUUUUGAGCACUUCUCCAUCGAAGGCGAUCCAGCAAAUCGUGGCUGUCCUGCUGCUGUUUUGCGACUUUGGGUCAAUGUCGAUUCUGAUCAACCGCCAUUGGAAUUGUGUGGUGAAAAGCCACUUAUCGAACAGUGGUAUUAUAUUUCUACUGGACAAACUGCUCGUAUCAGUUUCACAACCAGCGACAAAACCGUUGGUGCUCCGGGCUUCCGCAUUGUAUGGACUGAAAUACAAGACUCUGGUCCUGGACCACCGUCCAUUGGACUGCUUUGUGAAUCAACAUACCACUUCCAAUGCGAUGUGGGCUACUGCAUUUCCGACAAACUACGUUGCGAUGGCGUCAAAAACUGUGGUCCCGGUGAUGAUAGUGACGAAUUGCACUGUGAGUCGUGAUUUGCAAUUUCAGUUGAUUUCCGACCAAUGAUUCGGUACUUAACAAGACAGAUGGAAAUUAAUGGAUUUUGUUCAAAUAUAUUCAUUUCGAAAUACAACUUAUUUCAUAACUGUAGUAUAGUAUGCAUUUUUACUAUUAAAAUUACUAAUAAGAAACAUUAUAAAAAUUAAAUAUUAAAAAUAUAAUAUUUUCAAAACUCAGUUUUUAACAUACAUUUUCAAAAGUAAUUUAAUAAAGUCCUUUCGAAUUGUUUUCACAUACUCAAAAUUUAACUGUUUUCAUAUUCAAAUGAAUACUGUUACAUACAUAUACUACAUUUUUCGAAUGCAUAAGAAAUCAAACGAAAUUAUAUCUAAAUAAACCUCUCUACUUAUAUUAUAACACAUAUAUAUUUAAUUGAACUAAACUUCCCCUUAUUUUCCACCUGCGUUCUUUUACUCUCCUAAAGUGGAAAUAUUUUUUUAAUAUCUAUAUAAUUUCACUUUACUUUUAGCUAAGUUCGUAUUUAUUAAAUUUGUUCACAAUCAAACUUGAACCUGACGACACAAUUUAAAUAUGCUAAAAUAGUUUUCUGCCUUAUAAAUAACAAUAUUAAAUCUUAAUCUAUAAAUAUUACUUACAAUACAUUGCUUAUAGACUAAACAGAUGUUAAUGAAUUGUUCAUCAACAAUAAUCGUAAACAACUUAAAUACUUUAUUCAAAUAUAAACAAUAAAGAUCAUUAAAAUGGUUCAUAAAGAAACGAAUGAAUAUUUAUAGCGUGCUAGAUACAAAAAGAGACAUGGAACAAGUCAUUAAUUUAACAUCAUGCAUCGAAGAAUGAAUUUGAGUCCGACCACAUAACCUAACAAUCUAUGCUUAAUGCUUGAAAGAAAACUGGUUGAACAAAAAUGAGAAAUAAAUAAAGUGCCACAUGUCAUUUUUGUAUUUAGUUUGUUAUAUAGGUCUAAACAAAUCUUUAUACACUGAACUUGCAUAUUCGCACUGCACUUUUAUAAAAAAAUUUUGAAGCAUUUUUCACGAAAUUACAUUAUUAAUUAUGUAUACUUCAUCACUUGUCCAUGUACAUAAAUAUACAUAAGUUUGGUUAUUGUCCAUCUAUCAUAAAAUUUAGGCUUUUAGAGCAGUUUCCUACCAUGAAUGGCUUGAAUGAUAUAUAACAGUAAAAAAUUGUAUUAUAAAUAACUUUAUAUUUAUUGCUCUGCCAAAGAAAGAAGCGCAACGCAAUUGCGCAUGCGUUAAAAAUAGUAUAUCUUUGAACAGCUGGUAUAGUUUUGUUCGACUAGCUACCUCUAAGUUUGGAAGUUUGGAAAUUAACUUCCAAGCAAAGUAAAAUCCCUAAUGAAAUUUGUCAAGUUGUCGAUAAACAUGAAAAGGGUGCGAGAUAUUUCGAAAACUAAUUUACUUCGUACUUUCUUUUUUGCUCAGUCAAUCUUUUAAGCUUUUUCCACUGGGGAUACCGGCUACUUCACAGAAAAUACUAUUACUUUAGUACCAAUUGAUACGUAUAUGUCAUUGUGUAGUUGCUUGAUUUCUUUUAAAUCUAAAUACAUGAUUGUUUUAGGGACAUUUUUAUAAACAAUGGAAAGAAUGAAAUUUACCUCCAAAAUUAGAUCUUAAAGAUUAAUUCUUAUUUAUUGAUAUAAGUAGGGUAGGCAUAUUUGUACUGUUCGAAAUACAAAUGUCACCUCAUAGUAGAUAAGCGCCUUUAAAUAGACCACUUAACUGGUGAAUUACUGAGGGCUGUUGAGAAAAAUAUAAGGAUGUAAAGACUAGUACAAUUACAAAAAUUUAUUUACGAGUAUGUAUGUGUGUUUGUAAACUCAUAGUCAAUUUAAUCGAAUUUUAUCAGUCCAAAUAAAUCUUCCGUCUAUAUUUUACUUCAAGAUUUAUUCACAAAACCAUUGUUUCUAUUCUUUUUACCCAUUUUCUCUUCUAUCACUCGCUCAUGCUGGUCUUCUUCAAACUCAUCAAUUGAAUAAUUCCUUUUCAUUCUCAUCUUUGUGUCUUUCUAUUUCAAUUUUCAAAUUAAACCAAAAUAAACCAUUUUCAAUUGUUUGUUGUGUGCUACUUGCUUCUUCCUCUUCUUCUUUUUAUUAACUUUUCUUUCUCUCUUUAACGCCUUCCUCAUACUAAUACGCCCAGGCGACGGAAAUACACCUCUGAUGCCAUCAUUAAUACAACUUAUUGGUUUAGCAAUUGGCGUGGCGCGAUUCUUACAAUUUUAAAUACGUACUUUUAAGAGUCAAAUCAAAAAGAUUUAGAAAAAAAAUAAAAUCUAACGUAUACUUGCAUUGUUCUCAACAUAAAAAGAAAGUAGAAAUUGUCUAAUCGCAAUUUUUUUUUUUUGAACGUGUAUAAAUUGCUAAAUCAACUCAAGCGAAAACUUGAUCCUUUAACAACUACACUUGGCUGAUAAGGCGCGCCCAAAGCCACAUUAAAUUUAGCGUAUGCAAUUGUUGCAAUUACAAAACUCUAAACUAAAACAUUUUUCGCAUACAAAUAAGUCAUCUCUGAUUCAGAAACACGUGAGUCUUUUCAAAUACUAACAACUUUACAACAAAUCUUAACUCUUAACUCUUUUUGCUACAUAGUUUUAUAACAUGCUUACACACUAAUUUCUGUAACGAAUACUAUGGAUAUUAUUCAUAUACACUUUAUGUACAUACAAACAUGUUGACAUAAACUCGUUAGUACUCGCUAGCAAAUGGCACUCUAUAGACCACCCCAUACAACCCAUACAGCCCUCACUCAACAUAAACUCGCACUCACACAAACUCGCUCCUCUCACGUUAUGCAACGCUAUAUAGUUGUGCGUAAUAUGACGCCAUAAAAGCUUAAACCAAAAAAAUUUAGAAUUGCAUAAACAAUUAGGUGUUUUAGAAUAGAAAUAUUGCUUAAACUGCCUUCCUAAGUUUUCGAUAAUUCACGUAAAAAACGCUUAAAUAGCCGACAAUUCUCUACGUACUCGAAAUUCAUUCAAAAAGCUUUGUUUUAUUUGGACUUAUUAUUUUUUAGGCAACUUUCUACGACCUCAGCACCGUUUAAGUUAAUUUUGUUUUAAAUAAUUUGUGCUCGACAAAUAAUACGGCAGUAAACUAAAAAAAAAACAGUUCAACUCAUCUAACACUGCUGUUUUUUGAGAGCUCUUUUGGUACGAGUUUAGCACUGACAGGUUUUAUUGUUUCUUUAACUAUUUCGAUGUUGUCGUCUUUAAUAGAAGUAGAUGGACGACUCUCACGCAAGAGGCAAGUUUUCGAUGACUUCACAAGCUUCUCUCAAUGCUUUAUGCCACUAAAAUACAUGUGUUCGUGAUAAAGUAGUUUCCUCAAAACACCUCUGCAACAUUUUCACUGAUUCUGUAUCCGUGAUUACACGUGAAACACAAAAUUUCAAGCAAACUCAUUGUUCAUCAGAUGGUACUUUUGCUUUUACUCGAUCAAAAAAAUAUUAACAAGUUUUUUAUUUUAAAAAAAUAUUAUACUUACGGACAUCGAGAACCUGACCUAAAUCUAUGGGUUGAUAUUAAGGUAGCGAUUCUUUUAGUAAUAAAUUUCUGUGUUUUUUCACUUUAUUAUUCUAUGUUUUUGCACACGAUUGUAAUCGCCAUUUCAUAAUACUUUCGACUCAAAAAAAUCGCAUGUAUUCAGUUCUAGUCGUUGGUUCAGUUUCAAGUAAGAGAAGAAGUAUGUAUGUAUGUAUGUUCGAGCCACAAAUAUUUGCACAGCAUGCACAUAACCCAUCGAGAAAUUUAAUUACUCUUUUGUCAACGUAUUCAUUGCAUAAUGAUUCCUCAUAUUCGAUAAACAUUUUCGAAAAAAUUUCCCCACUUGACAUUUUCCAUCUGCCAAUUUUAUCGGUAAAACAUUGAAACUCUAUCUAAAUACAAAACUAAUCCACAAAUUUAAUUUUGGAACUUAUAAAAGCAAAAUAAAUGAAAGUAUGUACAUGCACAUCUAAGUAUGUAUGUUAUUAUCUCUAUAUAUUUAAACACAAACAGCCCUAAAUAUGAGUUAUUCUAAAUACAAAUACGAUAUUUAUUGAUAUUAAAAUAUUAAGAAAUAUUUCAUAACAAUUUAUGGCAGUUCACUAACAAGUUAAAAUUUUCUUACUCUGUCUUUUCUGAAAACAAAAAUCGCGUGCAACAAAAUCUUUGACGAAACCUUUUGGACUUUCGUCGUCGUUUUUGUGUGUUUAUGAAUAAUAUGAAUAUGCAUGCAAAAAGGUACCACACAAGCGCCCGAGGAGGAUCACGGCGUUCUAAUUAUAAUAACACUAAUCGUCGUCUCGUUCCUAAUCUGUCUCCUAUGCACACUCUGUCACUCCAAAAGAAAACGUAGAGCGCAUGUGCGCCAACUGGGCCUGCACCGCAAUGCGCAUUACGAUUCACAAACCAGCGCAACUGUUUUUAAAAAAUUUUAGUCAAUCUGAACAUCAUAUUUACACAUUUUCUUGUUUAAGAAUUUUGACACAUUAACAGGUUUGAGUUCCAGCCGACGGCAUUUGCAAGGUGGUGCGAGCAUAUCGGGUAGUCUACAUGGCAUCAAUAGCGGUUCAUUGAUGAUACCACCAGCACCCUUGCCACCCACCAGUGUACCACCACCGCCGCACAUCUGCAUUGCGGGCGUCGACGGUCUCAGCGCAGGCAUACUAAUUAACGACGACGACGGCCUGGACGAUGACGACGAAAUCGAUCUAGACAAUGUGCAGCAUGAGAUAUUCAUUAACGACGUACGAUUUGACGAUGAAGACAACCACUUGGAGCAAAUGCAUCAUUUGGAAACCGUUUAACAAUUGGCGAAGGUUUUGGGCGGCACUAGAGGCGUUAUCCAAUUGUUGCAACAAUAUGCGGCAUUUUAUAGGAAUUUACAAGCAUAGGAACAGAUUUAAUUUACAGUAAUAAGAAUUAAUGAAUAAUACCGAAAACAUUAGUAAUAAUAAUUGUACGACUACAUCAUUAAGUCAGGUUUUUAAUAACAAAAUUAAUCAAUAAAAUCCAAUUCCCAGGAAUUAAUAUGUAUGAUGUUUGAAGCAAAUAACAACAAAAUGUUUCAUGAAAUAAUAUGAAAAAAAUUACCGGCAAAAUUCAGCAAAUUCAAAAAUGCCAAUGAUUCGAAAAAGUGAGGAACUAAAGCAAUCGGCCAGAAAGGAUGAAAGGAGUGACUUUGUGAAAAAGCGGAGAGUUUGUCUCUUUGAAUAUUAAGGGAAUAUAAGACGAAAAAAUUGUCGGAUUUAGACUGGGUUUAUUGGCAUUUUAUUGACUUUUUUAUUUUUGAAAAAAUCGUAUAAAAAUAAAAUAUACAUAUUUGUGUCCACGCGACAUUUGGAAGAUCACCUAAAAGAACUUGUUGUAAAAUAAUUUCCAUAAAUUUAAUAUUUAAAAGUUAACAGUACUGCGAAUGGUAGGAAGCGAGAUAGCAUUUUGACAAAGCUUUUUAUUGUGAAACAAAAUAAAAAGUAACGAAAUUAAGACGAAAUUGAAACGAGAGGUAAAACUAAAGUGAAAUAAAUUUAAAACUAAUAAUAAAAAAAGCAAAAACAAAACAUAAAAAAGCUCAUUAGAGAUAAUUAAUGAAUAAUUUAUAUAUGAAACAGCAUAAAAUAGUAAACGAAAAUAAAACGGUAAAUCUCAUUCAAAGUGAAUUCAUUGCGAAAAGCAAAAUAUUGUUGAUUUUUAUAUUUGAUACGAUUUAGAAGCAUUAUACAUAUAUUAUUCGUAAGGCCCCAGCCAUAUUGAGAGGUAAAUAACAACAACGCAUAUACAUGUUUCAAUUUUGUUAACGACAAACACACGAACCCAUAAUAAUAAUGAAAGUUGAGACAAAAUGCAGUUCACAGUUGACUCAUAAAAUCACUCAUUCUAUUUCUUUUGUACACUCGUUCUAUAUCUUUUCUACACCCAGCAGUUAUUCACAUAACAACACUCAUCCCCUCAUCAAGCCGCUCGAGACACUUUCACGCAAACACGAAGAACGCGAACGCGAAGAAUGAAGCAACUUACCACAUCAAUAAUAAUGAUUCUAAAAAGUGCUCAAUACGUUAGUAAAUAUACAAUAAAAACAAUACGUACGAGUCUUAUUGCGAGUAAAUAAACAAAAUAAAUAAAUAGCAUACAUAUUUAAGUACAUAUGUACAUACAUAUUUGAUAGUAAAAUGCCAUAAAAACAAACAUAAGAAACGUAACAAACGUAACAAACGUAUAACGCUCAUACAUAAUACCUUUUUGAUGGCAAUAUUACGUAUUUAUUACGGUAAAAAACUCCGAAUGUGACAACAAACUGACAACCAAAAGUUGCUGCUCAGCCGACGUGCUACUACACUGAAUAAUAAUAAUAAUCAAUUAGUGACUAUCAAAACUGCAUCUUCCAAAGUAAGUAAUUAAAUAACGAAAUACUAAGGCACUUAAACAUAAAAAUAUAUAUAAUAUAAUGAGACCUUUAGCUUGAACACUGGCAUUAGGUAAAAUAACGGUAAAAAUUUAUCAAACGAAAGUAUAUAAGUGAAAAUGAGCAUAAUACAGGGCUUGUAGUAAAUUAGAUAUUGAGAUUGAAGCUCGCGAGUUUUGGGAGAUAAACAACAGGUAUAUAUAAAAGGGGUUAAAGAGCUUUUACUUAUCUUAAAAAUAUUUGAAAUUUUUACAUAAUUUUUUUUUAUUUUUAAUUGUUUGAAUUCAUUUUUUUUAUAUACAUAUGAUAAGGAAGUAACUAAAUGACAGAUUUUAAAACAAAUUUUUGUAUUAGCUUAUAUUUCUAAUGAAACCGCAAAAUUGGAAUUUUAGUAAACCGAAAAAUUCAAAACAUUGUAAUACAUUCAAGUUAAAAAAUUCUUUACUACUACAUUAGUUCGUAAAAUUCAAUUUUCAAUAUUUUUAACUCGAAAAAUAAAUGUAUAUAUAUUUUGUUCGCAUUCAUUUGUAUUGAUUUUGUACUCGUUUUCCUUCGUGUAUACUCGCAUACACAAACUGCAGACCCAACGGACGGUAAAAAAAAUCUAAAAUCGAGUUAAAAGGCAACAAAUUAAGCAGCAUUUUAAAAAAAUAUCAGUUUCGCCUAGAAUUAAGAUUAAUGAAUGCAACUAAAGUUAAACACUAAAUUAAAUGUUGGUAGUAAAUUUAAAGAAACAAUUAAAUAAACUAGAAGUAAAACCAUGAUUAAACGAAGAAAAGAGUUGAAAAUUAAUUUUAAAAAAUUAAAUGAAUUGUAGUUAUUAUUAUUAAAAAUGCACGGAGGCAAUGUUAAAGAAAAAUGCUUAAUUAGACACAAAUGUAUUCAUUCAAUGAAAACUAAACGAAGUAUUAUAAAAUGAGAUAAUAAUAAGUAUGGAGAAAUAAUUUGUAAAUUAGUUUGAACCAAACUACUUACACACACACACAUACAAGUAAAUUCACCGAACAUUAACGUUUGGAGCACUUUUAUUUAAAGGAAAAUGUCAUAAAUUUUUUAUAAACAUUUUUGUUUUCUUCCUGAAAUAUCAUUUUAAAAAUCUUAAAAUCAUCACAUUUUUUUAUUACAACAAUUAUUUUUUUUUAGUUCGAAAUCGUCAAUUCCCACUUCUUUUUCACCUAAAAGUACAUAACAGCUUAAUUUGUAUUCAAUAGGUGUAUUAUAAUUUCAAAACCACAAAUGUUUCUGCACACACACAUGCAUUUACACACACAAGUACAUAAAUGCAUAAAACAUUGAAAGCUAAAAAAUGUUAUUAAAACAAAAGUAUUUAUUAAAAAAUAGAUAAAAGUAUUGGUUUCAUAGCGCACGUACGUUUUACAACAACAACAAAAAUCAAUAAAUAAGUGAUGUUAAAAAUGUUUACGAAAUUAACGAAGAAAAUUAAUGCUAAAUGAGGUUAAAGUAUUGAAAUUAAAAUCGUCAAAAUUUAAUUAAGAAAACAAAUCAAAUUAAUUAAAUGUAAUAAAAUAAGUAUUUGCAUACAUAUACUAUGUAACACUGCGAAUUGCAUUAAAACAUGUACCCUUGAAGGUAAAAGCUGAAAAUCAUAAAUUAAGCAUAAUUUAUAUUGGCUCAAAGUUUAUAUUUUUAUUUUCUUUUUGAAAAGCCAAAUUUUUUAAUAAAACUGUUAAUUUUUCAGCGCAAAAAAAAAGAAGAAUAAUAUAAUUUACUAAAAUCUGAAAGGCAAUACCAACAUAACUAUGUAGACAAAUUGUGAAAUGUAACGUUAAAAAUGCAAGCUAAAUGAAAUUGUCGUAGAAUUAUCUUAACAACAAGGGUAUUUAAAAAAAGCAUUAAAACGAUCGAAAAUCAAAAAUAUAAACUAAAAGGUUAUUAAAAUUAAAAGUAAAAAUGUUUAUCAAAUAAAAAUGAGAAAGCGCAGUAAAACAUAGCUUCGAAAGUAGCAAAAUGAAAUGUCAGAACGAGGGAGGGAAGCACGCUCUCCAAAGUAAACAAUUGAAUGUUAACAUUAAAUUUAAAAACGAUAUAAGAAAUAUGAAAAAAAUGCAUGUAAGCAAACAAAAUAUAAUAUAACAAAAGCAUAUUGCAAUGUAAAAUUAUAAAAGUAUAAUAUGCGAUAGGUUAAAAGUUCACACAAUAAAGAACAGACAGACAAACAGAAAUAUGUUAUUGAAAAAUAGCGAGCUAAAAAUUUUAAUGCAUUGUAAUAAAAUAUUGAAACACAGCAAAAACUGUUUGAAAUACACACAUACAUACAUAUUAAACUCAAACAAAAACCAAAACAAAAAUUUAAAAAACAUAAAACAAUAUUGAUUAGAUCGUGUAAGAGAACGCGUAAUUUUUAGUGUGUUUAAUUCAAAGCAAAUACAAAACAACAAAAAAACUCAAUAAAAACCAAUAAAUGCCCAGAGGGGUAAUAAAAACAAAACCACAAAAAAAACACUCCCAACACCGUUGGCUGGGAACUGAAACAUCAAAGAAAAUAAGAAAGAUGAAACCCUUUUGUGUCUUGUUAAUUAUUAUUGUAUUUCUGUGUAUGUGUAGAGAAAGGGUACGCGUUAAUUAUGUUAAUUCUUACGUUAUUUGCAUUAAUUACAAUUAUUUACUUGAUAUGUAUACAAACAACGACAACAACAAUAAUGAAAAUACACAGUAUGAAACAUGCCUGCUUACACCCACACACAUGCAAACACAAAAUAUAUAAAUACAAAAUAAAAAUAAAAUACUUUAGUUAGACGCUCAAAAAUGCAAAAAGUACACGUAAUGAAUUCCAAUAUAAAAAAAUAGUAAUUUACCAGACACUGCCUGCACGGCAGACACUGUGUAUAUUGUGUUUUAUGCAGCUAUAAUAAUAGUCAGAAGUAAAUUAAAGAGCAACAUACACAUACCCACAUACAAGCAUUUGCCUUAGUUAUUUAAAUAAAUUAUACAGAUUAAUCGAUGAUGAUCGAACCCAUAUUUUAUACGUGAACGUACACACACGCAUUCAAACAACAACAAAACAAAUGUAUACAACGCUAUUAUUAUUACGAUUACUAAUAUUAUUAUUAUUAUUACUAUUAUUAUAUUUACAUGCAAUGUUUAUCUACGCAAAUAUAUAAUAUGUAAUAACCGACAAGAGGUUGCAUUAUAUUUAGUUAGCUUAUGCAUUGUUCAAAUAUUUUUAUAACCCAUUGUCUUUUGUUAGUAAGAGUAUUUACAAACAUAUAUGCAUAACCAUUCGUUUCAACAGCCAAUGGCUCAAUGUUGUCAACUAAGCAUUCAUGUUACGUAUUAGCUGCUAUGUCAAUCUAAUUUAAGUCUUAUUGUAAUCGGUUGAAAUAAAAUUUUAUUGAAAUACAAAUA